rnacentral:tRNA from 1 species
GGCAGUUUAGCUUAACGGUAAAGCACUUCACGCGUAAUCAUAGGUAUAUGAGUUCGAGUCUCAUGGCUGGCC